rnacentral:rRNA from 1 species
UGGGGAAUAUUGGACAAUGGGGGAAACCCUGAUCCAGCAAUGCCGCGUGAGUGAAGAAGGCCUUAGGGUUGUAAAGCUCUUUCGCCCGCGAAGAUAAUGACGGUAGCGGGAGAAGAAGCCCCGGCUAACUCCGUGCCAGCAGCCGCGGUAAUACGGAGGGGGCUAGCGUUGUUCGGAAUUACUGGGCGUAAAUCGUACGUAGGCGGAUGCGCAAGUUGGGGGUGAAAUCCCGGGGCUUAACCUCGGAAUUGCCCUCAAAACGGCACGUCUUGAGACCGAGAGAGGUAAGGGGAAUUCCUAGUGUAGAGGGGAAAUGCGUAGAUAUUAGGAAGAACACCAGUGGCGAAGGAGCCUUACUGGCUCGGUACUGACGCUGAGGUACGAAAGCGUGGGGAG